UAAAAUCCCCAUUUCACCGAAGUGCUCACCUUUGACGAUCAACGCUUCUCAAACCAAAUUCACCAAAGAAUCGGUCGUUUCCAGCCCGACUCCUAAACAAUCAACCAAAUCCAAGCAUUCAAACUCAACAUACAUGAAAUUUGCAAACUAUCACCCAUAACAGAAAAUCCCCAACACGCAACAUGAAGGAUAGAAAGCUACUUAC
rnacentral:lncRNA from 1 species